GGGAAAUUUGGACACAGACAGGCAGAGAGGAAAGACAGCGUGAAGACACAGGGAGAUGACAGCCGGCUACAGCCAAGGAAAGACGCCUGGAACAGCUCCUUCCCUCACAGCCCUCAGAAGGAAGCAGCACUGCCAUCAUCUUGCUUUCAGACUACUAGCCUCCAGAACUGAAGGUUCCAGGACCCUCGUGGGAAGGAGCUGGGAGUUGUUACUCCGAAGACGUCCCUUUGAAGCACUGAGAGAAUGGGGAAAUGUGGUCAAGAAACAGUGCAUCCAAGAGAACAGGUCAGUCAUUUUACUGGCUACGGAGGAAGAGAGACCUUCACAGCAAGGACGGGCCUGCAAAUGAGGGCAGAAUGGGCAAAAGCAGGCCAAAAGAACAGUGUACUGGGAAGGGCAGAAUCAGGC
rnacentral:lncRNA from 1 species